UUGCUUCCACAGCACAGAUAAUAAAAUUGGAACAAUAUGGAAAUCAGCAUGGCCCCUGUGCAAGGAUGACACGCACAUCUGUGAAGCAUUCCAUACUUGU
rnacentral:snRNA from 1 species